rnacentral:rRNA from 1 species
UCCGAAGGGGGCUAGCGUUGUUCGGAAUUACUGGGCGUAAAGCGCACGUAGGCGGAUUUGUAAGUCAGGGGUGAAAUCCCGGGGCUCAACCUCGGAACUGACUUUGAUACUGCAAGUCUCGAGUCCGGAAGAGGUGGGUGGAAUUCCUAGUGUAGAGGUGAAAUUCGUAGAUAUUAGGAAGAACACCGGUGGCGAAGGCGGCCCACUGGUCCGGUACUGACGCUGAGGUGCGAAAGCGUGGGGAGAAAACAGG